rnacentral:sRNA from 1 species
UUACCAAGUAUGGUUGGAUGUGCAGAGUUUACAUUUUAAGGACCUCUGCUGCUGCCAAUGUCAUUGUGGUUAAUGAUGCCUUUAAGGUUUAUUCUUAUUCCUGUAUCUUUGAGAGAGGAAGAGAGUGGGAUUGCUACCCACAUUUUAAUGAAGGUGGAGCUGAGCCCUAGAACUCUCUGGGAGCCAUCCAACCUGGCUGUGGCUUAUAACAAGGCCCAGAGCAGGGGCUGUUGCCGAAAGGCUGUGGAGCAACAAGUUGACAUCUGACCUGACAUUUGCCUAUGAACGUUUGUCACACUUCCGCUGUGAGUUGCUGAGGCGAGGUGUCCAGGCCCAACCCCUCAAUGUAGGCUUCUGUGAGCAGGAGUUUGAACAGACCUGAGCCCCAGGCACCGAGGAGGGUGCUGGCUGUAGGUGAAUGGUAGUGGAGCCAGGCUUCCACUGCAUCCCGGCCAGGGGACGGAGCCCCUUGCCUGCGUGCCCCUUGCCUGCGUGCCCCUGUGCUUGGAGAGAAAGGGGCCGGUGCUGGCGCUCACAUUCAAUAAAGAGUAAUGUGGCAUUUUUCCAUAAUA